rnacentral:rRNA from 1 species
CCCUAUGGGGUGCACAAGCGAAUCAUUCGUGCUGAAACUACAAGCGAUUGCAUCACAGUUUUUAUCCGAAACAAGCUCCUGAUGAUCGAUUUAAUUGCUGUGACUGUUUUUGCCACCGCCACCACGGUCAUCUAUUUCGCAUUCUUCAACUAUUCUGAGACCACACGGUGGAUCUUUAUCACUUACUUGGCAAUCGUCCUGAUUAUAAGGGGAGUCAGCCUCCUUGCUCGAUUCUUCCUCUCUCCAAAUGAUGCUUCCUCUCGACUCAUAAAGUUGUCUUCCGAGUCUGCGGUCAUGAUCUAUCGUUGGAUCACGCGCAUCACUGCGGUGGGAGUCUCUGGACUUUUGAUCGGUGAGUUUCUGGAACUUCAGGGCAUGAGCGAAGAGCUUGAUGAAUUGGUUCAGGAAUUGGCGGGGGGGC